CUAACGAAGAUGGCGACCGGCGCACGGGUGAGUAACACGUAUCCAACCUGCCUCAUACUCGGGGAUAGCCUUUCGAAGAAAGAUUAAUAUCCGAUAGCAUAUAUUUCCCGCAUGGGUUUUAUAUUAAAGAAAUUCGGUAUGAGAUGGGGAUGCGUUCCAUUAGUUUGUUGGGGGGGUAACGGCCCACCAAGACUACGAUGGAUAGGGGUUCUGAGAGGAAGGUCCCCCACAUUGGAACUGAGACACGGUCAA
rnacentral:rRNA from 1 species